rnacentral:rRNA from 1 species
AGAGAGAGACAUGCGCGCAUAUCAAUAAGCGGAGGAAAAGAAACUAACAAGGAUUCCCCUUAGUAACGGCGAGUGAAGCGGGAAGAGCUCAAAUUUGAAAUCUUCAAGGUUUUACCUUGACGAAUUGUAGUUUAAAGAAGUGUUUUCUGCUGAAGUUUUGGUAAAAGUUCUUUGGAAUAGGACAUCAUAGAGGGUGAGAAUCCCGUAUUUGACCAUUAUUUUCAGCUUUGUGAUACACUUUCAAAGAGUCGGAUUGUUUGGGAAUGCAGUCCAAAAUGGGUGGUAAAUUUCAUCUAAAGCUAAAUAUUGGCGAGAGACCGAUAGCGAACAAGUACCGUGAGGGAAAGAUGAAAAGAACUUUGAAAAGAGAGUUAAACAGUACGAUGAAAUUGUCAAAAGGGAAGCGUUUGACACCAGUGUUGUUUUCUCGAAAAUCAAUUAAAAAUGGCUCGAUUUUGUAUUGUUGAGACCUUAAAAGCUCACUGUACAUUUUUCGUGUCUUUUUUAAUGCACUUUUCGUUUAACAAGUCAACAUCAGUUUCUUUUGUUGUAAAAGGGUCAUUGGAAGGUGGCUUUCUUUUCGGAGAAAGUGUUUAUAGCCUUUGGCCUCUGCAAUCGAAGAGACUGAGGUCUGCAGCGUAGACUCUUCGGGUUAGAUACAUUUGUGCUAAGUUAUAGCUUUUUAUAGACAACUUGUUGACUAUAAUUAGUCUUGUAGCUUACUCGCUUAUGCUAUUUUACCUACGCUUAGGAUGUUGAAGAUGUAGCACAUCAU